rnacentral:tRNA from 2 species
GUUUUUAUAGUUGAAUAACAACAUCAGUUUUUCGUGUUGAAGGUUCUGGUUUUAGUCCAGGUGAGAAUG